rnacentral:rRNA from 1 species
CCAAUAGCGUAUAUUAAAGUUGUUGCAGUUAAAAAGCUCGUAGUUGAAUUUCGGGAUCAAUAUGUCGGUCGUGCCUUCGGUACGUACUGGUAUCAUUGGUCUCUCCUUUCUGACGAACCAUGAUGUCAUUAAUUUGGUGUUAUGGGGAGUUAGGACUGUUACUUUGGAAAAAUUAGAGUGUUUAAAGCAGGCUCACGCUUGAAUACAUUAGCAUGGAAUAACGAAAUAGGACGUUUGAUUUUAUUUUGUUGGUUUCUAGGAUCGACGUAAUGAUUAAUAGGGAUAGUUGGGGGCAUUAGUAUUCAAUUGUCAGAGGUGAAAUUCUUGGAUUUAUUGAAGACUAACUACUGCGAAAGCAUUUGCCAAGGAUGUUUUCAUUAAUCAAGAACGAAAGUUAGGGGAUCGAAGACGAUCAGAUACCGUCGUAGUCUUAACCAUAAACUAUGCCGACUAGGGAUCGGAUGAUGUUAAUAUUAAUGACUCAUUCGGCACCUUACG